rnacentral:tRNA from 4 species
GGGGAUGUAGCUCAGUUGGCUAGAGUGCUUGACUGGCAGUCAAGAGGUCGUGGGUUCGAGCCCCAUCUUCUCCACCA